GCCAUGCACAGCAUGCCUGGGCCCACCCAGGCUGUGUCCCCACAGUUCUGAGGGGGCUGUGAUGGGAUCGAGUCCUGCCUGCACUGGCGCCAAAAGCAUAGAACCACAGGACUGCGCAACCCUCCUGCCAUAAUUAUUUUUUUACUUUUUCUUGCUAAGAAACAAUUUAGCAAGGAGGCAGUGUCAUAACUGGUGUGAUCCAGCCUCUUCAGUAACACAAGUGCAGAUCAAAUGAAAUCCAGAGCAGCAAAGGCCUUUUCUUUGUCUUACUGGUUAUUGCUGGGUGAUGCUGCUGAGAGCAAGCAAACAAGAAAGAGACUAUGCAAGCUGGUAGCAUCACAAUAAUGUCAAGUUUUCUGUUUUCUAGCCCACAGAAAUACUUGACAUCUGGAACACCUGUAAGAUUCUACUUCACUUUGAUGACAACAGGAGGGAAUCCAGUCUAGAAGGACAAUAUUCCAUCCCUGACGUAACCUCUGACCACCUCCCUUGCAAUGGCCUCCUUCAGCUGCCUAGGGCCUACUCUUUACAGGAGUCUUUGCAGGACCUCUCUGCCCUUGAGGAAGUUGACAGCUCCUCCAAUUUAGUAUUAUCUGCAAACUUAUUUUUUCUUCGAGUCCCACAUCCAAGUUGUUUAUGAAGAUAUUAAAGAGCACAAUGCUGAGGAUGGAGCCCUGCAGAACUCCACCAGGGACCAUGCUACACAAGGUGAUGUCUCAGCUCUCUCACAGAUCCAAAGUGGAGAAAGGAGACAGCCAACAGGGGUGCUAGUUCAGAACACGGAAUGCCUGUUUUCCCCUUUCAAUCAAGAUUUUCUGCAAUAAAGGAGUACGGAGUCACCAAAUGAUGGGAAAAGUAUCCUCAGAUGCCAAGACAGUCUUAGAGUUGGGGCAGCAGGAGUCAGCAGCAGUGUUAUCAGAGGCAAUAUGCACCAGUCCAGCUGAGCAAUGGGACUUGAAGUGUGGUGGGGGCAUUUGCUCACUUCUCAUUCAAGGAAGGAAGCCAGCCUAUAUCAGGAAUCAAAGCAAUGUAACAGAAGGAACUCCUGUGAGAAGGUAGUAAGGCAGUGCAGCAUGGCUCUCAAAUUGCUUAACAUCUUGAUGAACUGGAGCAGGACUUGCAUAUAAAUGAUGUCAAACAAACAUAUUCCCCGUAAUGCUUUGCCAGUAACCACCUCAACAUUAUUCAUUUUGAUAUCACUCCACGCUGUGAAAACAUGCAUGAGCCAGAAGAGCUUUACUGUGUUCUACAGGGUAGAAAAAACAAUUAUAAAUAAAACCAAAAAACAAAUAGUCAUUAUUAUAUGUUGGCAAUUUACUUGAUAAUGGCCCACAUAGUUACAACCAACAUCCCUUUCGUCAGGAUUUCAUCCCACAAGUGCACUCACAGUUUAAAAUAGAACUGUUCUAGUAUGCUCUGCUGAAUUACCAAAUAACUGAAUAAUAAUAAUUAAAAAGGAAUUUGAAAAAACUAAGCUUCAGUUUACAAUGGUUUGCAAUUGAACACUGAAAUUUUUUAAUCCCUUAGGCUCGUUAAUCCACAUUUCCAGAAGGUUCCUGAUUUUUUCUCUCCCUACAAACAGAAAAACAUUUUUGCAUCAUUAUCUGUAACAGCACCAGUGAGUCAUACUUACUUUACUCUCUCAGAAAGCCUCAAAUGCUCUGUAGAUUGAAGUGUAUGAAAUUCUGACCCUACAUAUAACAACAGGCACUGGAAAUAUCAUGUGUUACAGGUCAGGAAGAAGGACGUAUGUUUAAACUCUUGAUUUUCUUCUGAGAAAGGUUGUAACAAUACUUAACAUAAUUUGAGAUAACAAAUAUUCAGGGAAAGACAGCAUUCGUGGUAAUUGGUAAUGUGUUCUCAGAGAAUGGAUUUUUUUUCCCCCUACUAUCUUCAUAAGUAAAGAACAAGGCACUUUACCAACUAAUUAAUCUCUCUACUUAGCUGUUCAACAAUUUAAAAUCAGAAUCCUUUUUUUUUUAUAUGACAGCAAUAGACAUGGUGAAACCCCUGGUGGAUUUAAUGAAGUCUUUGGCAAGUCUUCCCUUUUUGAGAUUAAAUCUCUUCUUUGUCUCUUUUUGGGCAGUAGAUGGACAUUUAAGGUUUACAGUGAGUACAGUUAAGCUUCAGGGGCUUAAACUACAUGUUUGACUCAAAGUGGAGUUUCUCUGAAGGCUUGGCUUUUUUCCCUGGAGAUUGAACAUCUGUUUGAUCUCUACUGGAAGACCAUGCACUGUGAGAUCCCCUUAACUGAAGAAGUCCCCAGCAUUUAUAUGCUGCUUCUGGGGCUUUGUGAACUGCCUUGUCCCCAGGAAGCACUGCUAUCAUGGCAGUGCAUAAAUCAGAACUGGAACUUUGAUGUAAAUGGGGCUGAAUCCAUUAAUUGCUUUAAAAGUCUUUGUGAUUUGCAUUGUCCCAGAGGACAUGCAGUUAUAGUGAUUCAAAGAUCAUACUACACUUUGAUGUUGUCAGAGCUGGAUUCAUUAUUGCCUGAAAUUGUAAGAACAAAGCAUUACAUGGACACUGGAAAUUAGCUGGGAGCCAGUGCAAGGAUGGGAACCAUGCUAUUUCCUUCUCCAGGCUUAAUGAGCCUUGGAAGACCCCAGCACUUUCUUGGUAUAUAGGAGUUUAGUUUCUUUUCUGGAUUGCUGUCAGCCUGGCUUCUGAAGUAUCAGGAUAACAGCCUGUGCAUGAGUCUGCCUUAUUGCACACAUGAGGCACUCUCCGAACAUCUUUUAGCUAUAAAUCACCUUUCAGAUCUGUGUUUAGAGUCUCCAAAAGCUGUAAAGAUAUCUUUGCUCACGGGUAGGUCCUUAAACUCCAGAGUUCAAGUCCCUGUUCAGAAAUUGUACUCAGACUUCAGAGCCCAAAGUUGAACUGUAUGUGCAAAUUUUAGUCUAGCUCUGUGGACCAGAAAACAUAUCUAUUACUUUCCCAGGAUUCAGUUAAUUCAUUAUACUGUGUAGAAAGUUAACACACACGUAAGAAAGAAAUCAGAUUAAUUUUGUAGCCUGCACAUAAAUAAUUUUAAAAUAUAUGCAUAGAAUGGAAAAAUGGACAACAAAAUAACAGUAAUGAAAUCAAUAAUAAUAAUAGUAAUUGGCAAUUCCUUUCAGUUUUCCAGACUGGGCAAGGAAGGGUUAAAAUGGUUUGUACCAAUUAUUGACUACAAGAUCUGCAAAUGAUUGCAUAAAAUUUCCAAAAUAUGCCUGCAAGCUUCUAUUAUUGAUGUUGUGCCCCAGGACAUGCACAUAUGGAUUUAAUUGUCUAAAGUGUUUUAUUAAUUAAAUUGCUAUGAUUUACCUCUCCCAUGUUAGCAUUUACAGUUUAUGAAACAGCUCGUAAUUAGGAAAUGACUAUACUGAUGUUGCUUGUUUACUUUGCUAGCAAUACAUAAUAGUGCCACAUUCCUCUUUUUAAACCCACCCUCCCAGGC